rnacentral:rRNA from 1 species
GCGAAAGCCGGAUUAAUACCGCAUACGAUCUAUGGAUGAAAGCGGGGGACCUUCGGACCUCGCGCUAUUGGGGUGGCCGAUGGCGGAUUAGCUAGUUGGUGGGGUAAAGGCCUACCAAGGCGACGAUCCGUAGCUGGUCUGAGAGGACGACCAGCCACACUGGGACUGACACACGGCCCACACUCCUACGGGAGGCAGCAGUGGGGAAUUUUGGACAAUGGGCGAAAGCCUGAUCCAGCAAUGCCGCGUGUGUGAAGAAGGCCUUCGGGUUGUAAAGCACUUUUGUCCGGAAAGAAAUCCUGGUGGCUAAUAUCCGCCGGGGAUGACGGUACCGGAAGAAUAAGCACCGGCUAACUACGUGCCAGCAGCCGCGGUAAUACGUAGGGUGCGAGCGUUAAUCGGAAUUACUGGGCGUAAAGCGUGCGCAGGCGGUGAUGUAAGACCGAUGUGAAAUCCCCGGGCUUAACCUGGGAACUGCAUUGGUGACUGCAUCGCUGGAGUAUGGCAGAGGGGGGUAGAAUUCCACGUGUAGCAGUGAAAUGCGUAGAGAUGUGGAGGAAUACCGAUGGC